GUGUGUGUGUCUGUGAGUACGUGUUGAGUGUGAGUGUGUAUGUAUGUGUGUGUAGGGGUCGGGGUGGGGGGGGGUCCGUGUUUGCGAUCUGAACCUUUGGUACCUACAAGGAGAGUGUCUCACCGAACGGUAGCUAAGAUCUCAGCAGAACCGCGCGGAAGUGAGGAGUCGCGGCCAAAGGCGCCCACCGCAGCCUCCUCUCCGGGCCGGACCCCAGCCCGAGCCGCGAAAGGAGCCCCCCGCCCGGAUCACAGCUGCUGCAGCUGCCGCUGAAAUUCGCUGUGGCCGCUGCCUCUUCCCGCUUUAAUCCCAGACCUCCAGUCAUUGGGCAGCUCCUCAGAGGCAAGAAGUCAACACCAUGGCAACCCGACAAGCCUAUCAAAUCACCGGCUGGCGUGACAGCAGCAACACUGCAGGCUGGAGUGGGCUGGGCAGAGGAGCCGAGUGGCCACUACGCUCAGGUUGCCAUGACAACGAGGAUUGGACAAAUACAGUUUGCUGGCACCUAUAAUAGUGGAAACAGGAUGUCAGAGAGCAACAAAACGAUACCAUCAUUUUUAUGUGCCUCGUAUGCAAAACAAAAUUCAUUCAUCUGUGUGGUCUACUGAUGGGAAAUAAAAUCAGAUAUUUCACUUCCAACAAGCAAAAGAAAAAUCGAUUGUGAUUCCAAGAAGACAUGAACUCAACUGAAAAUCACAUGGAAUGAAAAAUAACCAUGGAGGGACAACCAUUUUGCUCUGGAAGAGAAACCUUACCCGUACACUUUCCUGAAAUUAUUUUGAGCACAUGGUCUUAGGUUGUUAGUCUUUGAACUUUUCCUGUGACACAGGAACAAACUCAACAAUCCAAAACUGCAGAAGUCAGACAGCGAGAAACUCUGAUAAAAGUGGCCAUCUUUGACAGCUGACAAACAUGAGUAUGAUGAAGCGUGGCAAAUAUGGAUGUGGUUCAUGAAUAUGCGUAUGUCUUUUGAGAGGACCUGACCAAUGAGAUGUAUGAUAGAUCACUGAUAAAUCUCUGUCUUUAUUUUUAACUUCGAAAAGAGGAAGGAAAUACCGAGAGUUGAGAAGAGAAAUACUAUCAAUUAGCUGCAUUCUUAGUUGUUAAAAAUUACACCAAGUCCUUUUGAGUAAGCUCCCUAUCUAAAAAUUGUCUCCUUGCUUUACUUCUUUCCUUCUUUACUUUAUCUCUUCAUUUGGGAUGUCAGAUCCAAAAUGGCAAGGAUCUUGUAUGUUUUGUUUAUCACUUUAACCCAUUUCCAAUGUUGUGUAGGUGCCCGAUAAAAACUUGCUCAGUGAAGGAAUGCAAGAGAUUUAGAUUUUAAUCUAAGUAGCUGGAAGACCUGAGGAUAAUCACUUGACUUCUUGGAGGCUCAAUUUUUUUACUUUUAAAAUAGUGGCAUAGGGGGUGCCUGGCUGGCUCAGUGGGUAGAGCAUGCAACUCUUGAUCUUGAGGUUGUGAGUUCAAGCCCUAUGUUGGGUGUAGAGCCUAUUUAAAUAAGAUAAAAAAUGAUAGCAUAGACUAGAUGGCUAAUGUUACUUGCAGCAGUAAUAUUCAUUGAUGGUAUGCAUGAUUCAGAUGUUCACAUGAUAACCAACUAAUGUUUUUUCUUUUUACAGGAAACUUCACUUAUGUACAUAGUUUAUUGACCAAUCUUUUUUCUUAAUGAAACAUUUAUCCAAGAUCAAGUGAUUUGUGAUGUUAAUUAUCAAUGCUCUAAUUAGUGUCUACUUGUUGUUCCUGAUUAAACCAAGUUUUUUGUGUGAUGAAUCCAGUUUGGGCUAUUUAGAUGCCCAAAGAAGGUAAAAAUGAAAGAUUCUCUUACAUUCACACUAAAGGUUCUUUUAAAAUUUUUAAGUUAAUUUUUAAAAUGGUGAUUUUAAUUUCUACAGAUUUCUACAAAAUUCUAAAUUUAGAUUGAUCUCUUUGAUAGAGAAAAAGAGAAAACUGAGAGAUACCUAGUUGUUUCCAAAUUCAGCAGUGCUAUGAACAUCUUGGAUGAGUUGAUAUUAGAGGAACCUUCAUUUAUCUCUUUUGGUAUCCUGUGUGAUGAAUGUAAAUUCAAUAUUACACUGAAUACUUUUGAAUGGAUUUGUUAGCUGAUCAUAACUUCACUGCAUAGUCUGGUGAUUGAAUUUACAAUUGUGGAAAGAUAUUGCUGAUACUGGUGAACAACAGAUAGGUUCCUUUGGCCUCGUGAUGCUGUUUUAAUUUUUAAUUGUCCAUGUGUUUCUUGAGUGCCUGAGGACUGUACACAAUAUUUUAACAAGACCAACAUAUAGAAUUCCAAAUAAAUUUCAUUUCAAAUAUAAACACUUAACAGGUUGAUAGAAAUGUAAAAUAAAUUUUUAUAUAUUGAAAAUGACUAAAGUCUUUGGUUUUUGCUAUUGUAAUUACAAAUAGGAAUGUGAAAAAUGAAUAAACACUGGAGGACAGCAAGUGCUAUAAUAUUCAUGUUUAAAGAACACUAUGUUCAUAUUAAAAACUAUGUUCUUUGGUUAGUUGAAUUUAUUUGUUGAGUCUCAAAUGUUAUUAGGCAUUGUUUGCAGAUUUCUAACUUCUAGGCAAAUGUAUAAAAAAUGGGGGCUUACUUGGAAAGCACUUAGGUGACUUAUUUUUAUUGAUAUGUCUUCCCUCUAGACCAUUGGAAAGUAAAAGUAGUCAAAACUAGAGUUCCAAAAAGGAAAAAAAAAAUGAAGCUAGUGAACUCUACUGAUGUUUAACUUCCUAUGAAUUUCAGCAUACAGUUGGCCCAUACAGGUUCCAUUAAAGUUAAUGGGAGUCGUAUGACCUAAUUCCCUUUGUAGAGUACUAAAAAUGUACCCUGCAGUAUUAAAAAGUCUGAACCUAAUUUUUACUUUCUCUUAACCUUGAUUAUGUUAUAUUAAAGAUAGAUACAUUCAUUAUCAUACCCAUAUAUAGUAAAGUUUAUACAAAAAUUUGAAAAUAAUCUAGUUGAAGGAGAGGCUGAAUUUAUAUGGGUCAAAGCAGAAUUUUAAUUAGGGUUGCAAAUAUGAGUGAUGCUUUCAUUAUAAUGAUAAAACAAGCAUGAGUAUCUGUAAUUUACCCUCCAGCUAUAUAAAUGGGGACUUAAACCUCAAUGUAUUCAAUAAAUGAAACAUUUUCAGAACACUUACUUAAAAUCAGGUCUACUUUUUAAUCAGUCAUGUUUUAAGUGAAUGCUUAUUAAUAGAUCAUUAAUAAAACAUGCCUACGCAAUGAGAUUUCAAGAAAGAUAUAAGAUGACUAAAAGACAAAGUAAAAAGAUCUAAUUGAUAAUUUUUAACUUUGUUUUAAACAAUUUAGUUUCAAUAAGUUACAUGUUUAUUUCAAAUUACAACUGAAUUCUAAAUCAUUUUUUCAGUUAUGUUUAUGAAGAUAAAACACUACAGAUAAUCUCGCCUGUGAAUUCAUGACCCUUUUAUAUACUACCUAAGUUCUUCCUGUUUUGCAAAACUGAAAUAUUAAUCUCAUUUUUUUUCUCUUAAAUAAUUUCUGCCUGGCUUCUAUCAUUACCUGGGGGAAUGAAGUUAUAAGGUUUUUAUUGUUAAAGAAUGCGAAAAACAAAAAGAAAAAUAUUUACACGAAUAAGUACCCCACCAUCCAUUUUUCACUGAAAUCAACAGCUAGGCUGCAAAACAGGGACACGUACAAAAUAUUUCUUAAAUACAAAGAACACUGGAAAAAGGCAGGCAAUAUUGCAGAACGAUAAAUAAAGCAGAACAUUCUCCAAGGGUCCAGAAUUUGGUUUGGAUAACCUUCCAGAAGGCAAAAUUUUUACCCAAAGCCGAUAUAAACUGUAAUUAGGACUGAUCUUUUUAUGUUCUACAUUUAUCUUCUCUGGGUUGUUAUUACACGAUUCUCUGUGUCUAAAUUACAAUAGAAUCCCAGGAGUUUGGGUGGGGCUGAGGAGAAUAGUUACUAUUGUAAAUAAGUUCACAGUUUCCAAUUUAUUGAAACUGAUGUCAGGCACUUAGCUAUUGAACUUCAUCAGAUUUCUAGAGUACUUUCAGCUCAAGAUCCCAUUACUUAGAAUUCGCUUUGAAGCUUGCAACCUUUUCAGUUUUGUGCUGCAACUUGCUUCUGUGAUCUGCAGGCUUACAGCUGAAAGCUGUAAGCAUCCGAACUACGAGGGGCUCUUUGGACCCAUUGGAUUUCGGCUUUCCAGGCUGAUUUGUGGCACUGACCUUAAAGCAGCAGAGGCAGAAGACUUUUUUAGCUCUCACUAUUUAUAAGUUACUCUGGAAUGAGAAUGAAAAACUAAAAUGUGGUUCUUGGAGAUAUGCCUGGCAAUCCGGGCUAUUCCAACAGCUAACCAAGCCACAAAGCUCUGAUAGGUUUAGCACAAUUUCAAUCUGAAUUGUUCUGAUUCUUUAGCUAACUCUAGAAGGCACCACUUCUCCACUUUUACGGACAUAAUAAGGCGUACCUUAAAUUAAAAAUAAUUUUCCCAUACAAAUAUCGUUUCUUUUUUUUUUAAUUUUGAAAAGAGUGAAAAUUGUGUUUAAGAUUUUUGCACUGCCUUUUGAGAUAACUAGAAAUACUCUAAGAGGCUUGGAUUAUUUGUCACUAGUGUAUACAAUGUGUUAUUGGUAUACUUAUGCUUUGUGGCUUUAUUAGAAGAACAGCAGGAUGAGUUGAGAAGUCUGACCCUCAGACUCUGAAUUAAGUACAAUGUGCCAAGAAACUAUAGUGACUCGAAAUGUUAUUCCUGCACAGUGUAUGUUGUGUUGGUGUUUAGCAGAAGAGCCAAAGGUUGCUCCUUAGGACAGAGCCUCUGUUGUGGGCUUUGUGUCUGAUACUCUUCUUUUUACCUCUCAAAUUCUGUGCCUCUACUUCUGAUGCACGUCUUCAUGAGCCUGCUUUGGUUCCUGCUUAUUUCGUCCUUCUUCUGUAUCAGGUUAGAAAAGGGCUCUUCUCUUUCUUCCAUAGCAUCCCAAUUAUACUGAAAUUAAUUCAUUGGGAGACUGUCUCCUUCCUUAAAAUGUAAGUACCCUAAGGGUACGGACCACGUUUCAUAAAUGUUUACAGCCUGUCUUACAACUGUGUUCAAACUUUACUGAGCAUGAUAGCAUGGGAUACAACAUGCUUCCGGAAAGUUCUCAGUCUUUUAAUCUAUAAUUGCCGCACAUUGAAUUUUUAAAUAGACCUAAUUUGCAUGAUAAAGCCUCUGUCAAGGAUGUUUCUUUCAUUUUAGUUAUUUCUGCCCAAAUUUGCUAUUCUAUAAUCCUGUACUAGGCUGACAGGUGAGCUUCUCUUUAUGCCCCCACCGCACGAAAAUGUGUUCCACUAAAGCCUUCCGAGAAACAUGUCCUACAGGAUGCCUGCUGCUGGUGACCAUCUCCGGAUUCCCUGUACCCCUGAUGCAUGGUCCAAAUAUGUCAUGGAAGUGGAAGCCAGGGGUCCUGGCACAAAGAACCGACUUUACAGCUUCCCUGUUGCAGGACUGAGAGGUCUACAUUACCAUGUGUUAUGUGAUGAUUCGGUUCACCCCGAUUUGCCCUUUGGGAACUGCUGUGAAAACUUCUUUUGUACAGUAAAUCAUGACAGCAUUUGGCCUUCAUUUGAGGGUGAAUGCAUGGUUUAUAUAUUAAAGCCAUUUUUUUCCCUUUAGAAAUACCAUGUGGCAUCAAUUUGUUUGUAAGCACAAAUCAAAUGGCAGUUUGGGAUCCUCCAGAUGAUCCAGAAUAUGCUAUAUUAAGUUUUUAAAGGUUAUCA